rnacentral:rRNA from 1 species
UGGGGAAUAUUGCACAAUGGGCGCAAGCCUGAUGCAGCCAUGCCGCGUGUACGAAGAAGGCCUUCGGGUUGUAAAGUACUUUCAGCGGGGAGGAAGGGAGUAAAGUUAAUACCUUUGCUCAUUGACGUUACCCGCAGAAGAAGCACCGGCUAACUCCGUGCCAGCAGCCGCGGUAAUACGGAGGGUGCAAGCGUUAAUCGGAAUUACUGGGCGUAAAGCGCACGCAGGCGGUUUGUUAAGUCAGAUGUGAAAUCCCCGGGCUCAACCUGGGAACUGCAUCUGAUACUGGCAAGCUUGAGUCUCGUAGAGGGGGGUAGAAUUCCAGGUGUAGCGGUGAAAUGCGUAGAGAUCUGGAGGAAUACCGGUGGCGAAGGCGGCCCCCUGGACGAAGACUGACGCUCAGGUGCGAAAGCGUGGGGAGCAAACAGG